AACGAACGCUGGCGGCACGUUUUAAGCAUGCAAGUCGAAUGGCAGCAGGGGCAACUCUGUGAGAAUGGCGAACGGGUGAGUAACACGUAGGUGAUCUACCUUGAGGAUGGGGAUAGCCUGUGGAAACACAGGGUAAUACCGAAUAAGCUGACGGGACUUUGGUUUUGUUAGUAAAGGUGCUACGGCACCGCCUUGAGAGGAGCCUGCGGCUGAUUAGCUAGUUGGUGGGGUAAAGGCCUACCAAGGCGACGAUCAGUAGCCGGCCUGAGAGGGUGUACGGCCACACUGGGACUGAGACACGGCCCAGACUCCUACGGUAGGCAGCAGCUAAGAAUCUUCCGCAAUGGGCGAAAGCCUGACGGAGCGAUGCCGCGUGAUCGAUGAAGGUCGAGAGAUUGUAAAGAUCUUUUCUACAUGAGGAAUAAGUCUGGGAGGGAAUGCCUGGAUGAUGACGUUAGUGUAGGAAUAAGCCCCGGCUAAUUACGUGCCAGCAGCCGCCGUAA
rnacentral:rRNA from 1 species